rnacentral:rRNA from 1 species
UACAGAGGGUGCAAGCGUUGUGCGGAAUUAUUGGGCGUAAAGGGCGCGUAGGCGGUGCGGUAAGUCGGCAGGGAAAUCUCUGGGCUCAACUCAGAGUCUGCUGUAGAAACUGCCGUGCUUGAGUGUGGGAGAGGUGAGUGGAAUUCCCGGUGUAGCGGUGAAAUGCGUAGAUAUCGGAAGGAACACCUGUGGCGAAAGCGGCUCACUGGACCAUUACUGACGCUGAUGCACGAAAGCUAGGGGAGCAAACAGG